rnacentral:rRNA from 1 species
UACGUAGGGUGCAAGCGUUAAUCGGAAUACUGGGCGUAAAGCGUGCGCAGGCGGUGAUGUAAGACAGGUGUGAAAUCCCCCGGGCUUAACCUGGGAACUGCGCUUGUAACUAGCGGGCUAGAGUGCGGCAGAGGGGGGUGGAAUUCCACGUGUAGCAGUGAAAUGCGUAGAGAUGUGGAGGAACACCGAUGGCGAAGGCAGCCCCCUGGGUCGACACUGACGCUCAUGCACAAAAGCGUGGGGAGCAACAGG